rnacentral:rRNA from 1 species
CCUACGGGGGGCAGCAGUGAGGAAUAUUGGUCAAUGGCCGUAAGGCUGAACCAGCCAAGUAGCGUGAGGGAAGACUGCCCUAUGGGUUGUAAACCUCUUUUAUGCGGGGAUAAAGGUGUCCACGUGUGGAUGUUUGCAGGUACCGCAUGAAUAAGGACCGGCUAAUUCCGUGCCAUCAGCCGCGGUAAUACGUAGGAUGCGGUCGUUAUCCGGAUUGCUGGGGUUAAAAGGGUACGUAGGCGGAAUAUAAAGUCAGCGGUAAAAAUGCGGGGCUAAACCCCGUCGUGCAGUUGAAAAUGAUGUUGUUGAGUGGUCGAGAAGUAUGCAGAAUGCGUGGUGUAGCGGUGAAAUGCAUAGAUAUCACGAAGAACACCGAUUGCGAAGGCAGCAUACCGG